UACGUAGGGGGCAAGCGUUGUCCGGAAUCAUUGGGCGUAAAGCGCGUGUAGGCGGCUUGGUAAGUCCGGUGUGAAACCUUGGGGCUCAACCCCAAGCCUGCAUCGGAAACUGCCUCGCUCGAGUCCGGGAGGGGAGAGCGGAAUUCCUAGUGUAGCGGUGAAAUGCGCAGAUAUUAGGAAGAACACCGGUGGCGAAGGCGGCUCUCUGGAACGGUACUGACGCUGAGACGCGAAAGCCAGGGGAGCGAACGGG
rnacentral:rRNA from 1 species